GACGUAGGGGGCGAGCGUUGUCCGGAUUUAUUGGGCGUAAAGCGUGCGUAGGCGGCUGCGCAAGUCGGGUGUGAAACCCCGGGGCUCAACCCCGGAACUGCAUCCGAUACUGCGUGGCUAGAGGUAGGUAGGGGAGAUCGGAAUUCCUGGUGUAGCGGUGAAAUGCGCAGAUAUCAGGAGGAACACCGGUGGCGAAGGCGGGUCUCUGGACCGAUACUGACACUGAGGAGCGAAAGCGUGGGGAGCGAACAGG
rnacentral:rRNA from 1 species